GGUGGUGGAGAGGACGACGGAGAUGGCAGAGCAAUGGGUAUUCUCAACCACCAGAUCUGAAAACUUUUUCUAUGCAUAACCUCGACGAGAAACUUAUGUGUAGAUUUUGAGAUUUGAUUUGAUAUUUCUAGGGCUUUUACUUUCUUCUCUGUAGAUACAUGUUUAGGAUUUGUAUCCAAAUUGGAAUUUAUUAAAAUUCAAAUUGGAUUUGUUUUCCAAUCCGAAUUUGUUGCUUAUGUUGUGUUGUAGAUCUAGA